rnacentral:rRNA from 1 species
AACAAACGCUGGCGGCGUGCCUAAUACAUGCCAGUCGAACGGGGUAGCAAUACCUAGUGGCGCACGGGUGAGUAACGCGUGGAUAAUCUGCCUAAGAGUGGGGGAUCACUAGUCGAAAGAUUAGCUAAUACCGCAUAAGAACACAAGAACUGCGGCUCAUGGGGCCAAAGGAUUUUCGCUGUAAGAUGAGUCCGCGUAAGAUUAGCUAGUUGGUGAGGUAAUGGCUCGCCAAGGCGACGAUCUUUAACUGGUCUGAGAGGAUGAUCAGUCACACUGAAACUGAGACACGGUACAGACGCAUACGGGAGGCAGCAGUAGGGAAUAUUGCACAAUGGAGGCAACUCUGAUGAAGCGACGCCGCGUGAGAGAUGAAGGUCUUCGGGUCGUAAAGCUCUGUCGCAGGGGAAUAACGCAAUGAAUGUACCCAGUAAGAAAGGAUCGGCUAACUUCGUG